rnacentral:rRNA from 1 species
CCUACGGGAGGCAGCAGUGGGGAAUAUUGGGCAAUGGGCGCAAGCCUGACCCAGCAACGCCGCGUGAAGGAAGAAGGCUUUCGGGUUGUAAACUUCUUUUCUCAGGGACGAAGAAAGUGACGGUACCUGAGGAAUAAGCCACGGCUAACUACGUGCCAGCAGACGCGGUAAUACGGAGGUGGCAAGCGUGAUCCGGAUUUACUGGGUGUAAAGGGCGUGUAGGCGGGGAAGCAAGGCAGAUGUGAAAACCAGGGGCUCAACCCGUGGCCUGCAUUUGAAACUGUUUUUCUUGAGUACUGGAGAGGCAGGCGGAAUGCCUGGUGUAGCGGUGAAAUGCGUAGAUAUUAGGCAGAACACCGGUGGCGAAGGCAGUCUGCUGGACAGCAACUGACGCUGAGGCGCGAAAGCGUGGGGAGCAAACAGGAUUAGAUACCCCAGUAGUC